UAAGUGGGUGAAAUCACAAGUUGGUUUGCUUCCCUUCCUCAUUUUCCUUGUAAUCAGAAGAUGAAGUCACUUCAGAAAUGCAGAGGAGGCUGUGCUACCAUUGGCAUGCCAUGGCUGUGAUUAAAAACUACGGUCCUGUUCUUAAAGGGGAGCUGCCUGUGGCCAUGCUGAGCACUUCUCAGGAUGAGACCUGCCCAGAUCACCUCACACUGAAAUUCCACGUCUGAAAGCAGUUUUAGAAAGACAAUGGCAAAUCAAUUUCUUCUGAGGAGGAUAAACAACUGGCAACAAAUGUAGGCAGGAAAGGGUAGCAGUUCAGAGCAUCCUGCAACAGGCUUCAACCUUGGUUUCUGCUUGCUUUCUGCCUCUUGAAGAAUAAAUGAGAAUGUAUAUAGAGAAAUGAGGUUCCUAGAAAGAAGUUCAAAUUCCAGAUGGAUGAUACCACCCAGGCACCAGCUGUUGAGGAGAAGUGAAACCUUUGUCAAGCAAUACCAAAGAGCAAUCAAAGGUCACCUGGGCACUGGGAAUGUUUUCCGUGAAGGCUGAAGCUCACAACUCUACAAGAGAAUCCAUGGUGAUCUCUAAAGAAAUUAUUGACUCAAGAUGAAGAAGAAUUGGAACAAGAUUGCACUUGCUUCCGGCAUCUCCUGUGAUCACACAUGACUGCAUUGUGCCCGGCUGCUGCUGCUGUGCCCAGCCAUUCCGCAGGCUCCAUCAUCUCCUUGAUAUCCCUUGAUAUUGGAAGGGACUGGGGGAGAAAAGGCCAUGCUUCAUGUGGGAGUUUGCAGAAUGCCAUGAGCAAGGGUGACCACUGCUCAGAGAGGCCUGAAGUGUUCUAUGAUGUUUUGAAUCCCAUGAAACCAUACCAGAGGGGAUAAAUUUUUUGACUGUGUUGAUUUUCUGUGUGGUUCACUCUAGACUUCCUACAACAGACAGCUUAUUAUCUCGCCUUGUGAAAAUCAUACUUGACUUCUGGGAGACGUCUAUCAAAAGGAAAGAAUAGACUGAGAAGCUGGUACUUUCGAUCUAAUUAUCUAGGUUGGUGGUUGUUCAGUGAACCUAUUAACUGCUUGA